rnacentral:rRNA from 1 species
UACAGAGGGUGCGAGCGUUGUCCGGAAUCACUGGGCGUAAAGGGCGCGUAGGUGGCGCCGCAAGUCCAUGGUGAAAGCUCGAUGCUCAACAUCGAGUCGGCCACGGAGACUGCGGGGCUCGAGCACUGUAGGGGCAGAUGGAAUUCCGGGUGUAGCGGUGGAAUGCGUAGAGAUCCGGAAGAACACCGGUGGCGAAAGCGGCGCACUGGACCACAACUGACGCUGAGGCGCGAAAGCUAGGGGAGCAAACAGG